CCGCCAUUCUGUAGCCUAUGCUCGGAGGGCACAUGAGCAAGAGCUUGACCAUCUGUACCGUUGGUUGACUUGCUCUAUUAAGGGCUAUGAUUUCAGGUCGUCCUGCGUGUUUAGAGGAGGCGAGUGGAAUCUUGAGUCUCGGCUGGAGAAGGCAGAGCACGGGCAUGCAGACCUCAAAGCCUCAAACCUGCGUGUGAGAGGAGAAGUUGGCGAGCUCCAGCGUAUGGUCCACGGUUGGUACUCUAGGAGUCUUGCCC
rnacentral:lncRNA from 1 species